AUACGUAGGUGGCAAGCGUUGUCCGGAUUUACUGGGUGUAAAGGGCGUGUAGGCGGGAUUACAAGUCAGAUGUGAAAACUAUGGGCUCAACCCAUAGCCUGCAUUUGAAACUGUAGUUCUUGAGUGAUGGAGAGGCAGACGGAAUUCCUCGUGUAGCGGUGAAAUGCGUAGAUAUGAGGAGGAACACCAGUGGCGAAGGCGGUCUGCUGGACAUUAACUGACGCUGAGGCGCGAAAGCGUGGGGAGC
rnacentral:rRNA from 1 species